GUAUAAUACAAAUGGUCCUUCAAAUCCAGUUGGAAGCUCCUCCCUGUAAUUGAUGAAGGCAGGAUUUACUAUUUCUAGGGAGUAAGAGGUUUAUUUGUUGAACCAUGAUAUCUAAGGGAGUAAGAGGCAACGUCCAGGGGUAUCUAAGAGAGCUGGUCCAGGCUUGAUGGAAAUCGCUUAGUACAUUCAUGGGAUCACAAACUUUUGGCAUUGGUUGAGAUUAGUGACGCAGGACCAUUAAUAACUAGAAGACUGUGACAAUUAACUUACUGUUUCAUGAAUUAGAGAGGCUGGGUUGGACCAACUCCAUGUUACAGGCCCUUUCCUCAUUGCAUUUCUCUUGACAUUAAAUUGAUUAAAUUAUAAUUUCAGUAGGAAAUCUACAACAUACUCAGAUCAUUAUGAUUACUCUUUCCUGUUUUUGUUUCUAUAUCUAAUUGAUAUAUAGAUUUUGCAUCUUGUCCUAUGACAUGUACUUCUGUAGUUGUGUCCAUUGGACUUACUCUUUUCAUUGUGGCAUCAUGAUUCCUCCUUUUCUUGGCUUGCUAUAUAUGUUUGUUUCAUGGUC